rnacentral:rRNA from 1 species
GCGGUAACAUUUCUAGCUUGCUAGAAGAUGACGAGCGGCGGACGGGUGAGUAAUACUUAGGAAUCUACCUAGUAGUGGGGGAUAGCUCGGGGAAACUCGAAUUAAUACCGCAUACGACCUACGGGAGAAAGGGGGCAACUUGUUGCUCUCGCUAUUAGAUGAGCCUAAGUCGGAUUAGCUAGAUGGUGGGGUAAAGGCCUACCAUGGCGACGAUCUGUAGCUGGUCUGAGAGGAUGAUCAGCCACACCGGGACUGAGACACGGCCCGGACUCCUACGGGAGGCAGCAGUGGGGAAUAUUGGACAAUGGGGGAAACCCUGAUCCAGCCAUGCCGCGUGUGUGAAGAAGGCCUUUUGGUUGUAAAGCACUUUAAGCAGUGAAGAAGACUCUUCGGUUAAUACCCGGAGACGAUGACAUUAGCUGCAGAAUAAGCACCGGCUAACUCUGUGCCAGCAGCCGCGGUAAUACAGAGGGUGCAAGCGUUAAUCGGAAUUACUGGGCGUAAAGCGAGCGUAGGUGGCUUGAUAAGUCAGAUGUGAAAUCCCCGGGCUUAACCUGGGAACUGCAUCUGAUACUGUCAGGCUAGAGUAGGUGAGAGGAAGGUAGAAUUCCAGGUGUAGCGGUGAAAUGCGUAGAGAUCUGGAGGAAUACCGAUGGCGAAGGCAGCCUUCUGGCAUCAUACUGACACUGA